GAGAAAAUAUUUUUAGAAAUGAAAUAUUUGCACUUACGUAGUUAAUAAACUUUGUAUUCCUUAUACAGGUUCAAUUCUAGAAAUUUCAGUUUCAAAACUCCUUGUGCUGCCUUUUAGAGAUUGUGAGAAUUCACAUUUGAUAUAAAAAUGUUCAACUCUGCAGACAUGGCCUUUUCGUUGGAUAAUUUCUUUUAUGAAAGACCAGAUAAAAAACAAGGAUAUCUAGAAAAUGAAGAGCCAAAGAUGUGGUAUAUUGCACCUGCUCCAGCUAUUACUGAAAUUCCAGCUGCAGAGGAGUUACAGAAGGAACUGGAAAAAAACACAGUCUACAGUCAUAUGGGAGAGAGACAGCAUCAGAAGUUUAUACAGCCGUGCAAGAGAAAUACUGAGGAAGUAAAUGAGAAGUCACGAGCACCUGUUCAUUUUGGGAUAGCUUCUAAAAAAGAAGAGCUCCAGUUAGGUUUAGGAGAAAAGGAUAAAACUAAUUUUCAGUGUGAAAGUCUGAAAAUGGUUUCAUCAUUUCUCUCAUCUGACCAAGAUAAAUAUAAAACAGGAAUUGGGGCUUGUCAACAACCUGGUGCAAAUAUGUCACAAAACAAAAUAUUAAUUAAUCUUCCAGACAACAGUGAUGAUGAAAGUAUCCAUUCAACAUUAAGAAAAAGGUAUGUUUCUAGGCAAUUAUGAUAAUCUGUCUAUUAGCCGAAUCAUAUUAUUGUUUCAGGUGUAUUUGUCAAAUGCAGAGAUUUGGAUUCUUAAAUGAAAGUGCCUUAAUAGGGCUACAGGCACUCAUUUUUUUGAAUGUAAGGAGAAAAAGAAAUUCCUUCUGGCAGUCUUUUAGUACUGUAAUUGUAUGUGUCCUGAGCUCAACCUGCUUUACAAGGAAGGUAAGGAGGAGGUUGGUUUGAUUAAUUUUAAAUAAGCUAUCAGAUAACAAGGGUUCUUUGAAAUACUGUUUUUAGUUGUUCAUCUACUUGGUAAAGAGCAAGAAAACUAAGGUCACUUCCUUUUCAGAGGAGGGUUCAGGUAGCCAAGAAUACCUAUGUUAUUUCAGUGCUCUCCGGGAGGAGGAGUUUUACAGGUAAAUUCAGCUUCUAUGCCCAGCUCUUCUCAGUCCUCAAAAGCUGUACGCCUCUAUUCUUUUUAGUUACGCAGAGACUGACAAUUAAUUUGCUAUAGGGAUUGAGACCCCAUCUGGACAAGUCGUUUAUUCUUUCAGCCCUGGAAUGAAAGUAAAACUAAAUUUAUUGUGAAAGGAGUCUUCUUCAGGUAGAAAAAUGUCAGUUGAAGCAUAUAAAAUAAGAUCCAAACUUAUUCUAUGACUAUACCUUACUAGUUUUGCCUGCAAUAUAAACGUGCAUCUUUUUCAAAUGUUAGAGAAACUGCAUAAUGUAUAAUAAAUUGAUGAAGAUCCUGUAUCCUUUGCA
rnacentral:lncRNA from 1 species